UGAAAAGAACAAGGAGCCUUGUUGAUGUGU
rnacentral:piRNA from 1 species